ACGAACGCUGGCGGCAGGCCUAACACAUGCAAGUCGAACGGGUGUAGCAAUACAUCAGUGGCAGACGGGUGAGUAACGCGUGGGAAUCUCCCCAGAGGUACGGAACAACUCAGGGAAACUUGAGCUAAUACCGUAUGUGCCCGAGAGGGCAAAGAUUUAUCGCCUUUGGAUGAGCCCGCGUUGGAUUAGCUAGUUGGUGGGGUAACGGCCUACCAAGGCUACGAUCCAUAGCUGAUCUGAGAGGAUGAUCAGCCACACUGGGACUGAGACACGGCCCAGACUCCUACGGGAGGCAGCAGUGGGGAAUCUUGGACAAUGGGCGCAAGCCUGAUCCAGCCAUGCCGCGUGAGUGAAGAAGGCCUUAGGGUUGUAAAGCUCUUUUACCCGGGAAGAUAAUGACGGUACCGGGAGAAUAAGCCCCGGCAAACUUCGU
rnacentral:rRNA from 1 species